CCUACGGGAGGCAGCAGUGGGGAAUAUUGGGCAAUGGGCGCAAGCCUGACCCAGCAACGCCGCGUGAAGGAAGACGGCUUUCGGGUUUUAAACUUCUUUUCUUAUGGACGAAGCAAGUGACGGUACCUGAGGUAUAAGUCUCGGCUAACUACGUGCCAGCAGCCGCGGUAAUACGUAGGCGGCAAGCGUUAUCCGGAUUUACUGGGUGUAAAGGGCGUGUAGGCGGGAAAGGAAGGCAGAUGUGAAACUCAUGGGCUUAACCUGUGGCCUGCAUUUGAAACUGGUUGUCUUGAGUAAAGGAGAGGCGGACGGAAGUCGUAGUGUAGCGGUGAAAUGCGUAGAUAUUAGGAGGAACACCAGUGGCGAAGGCGGUCUGCUGGACAGCAACUGACGCUGAGGCGCGAAAGCGUGGGGAGCAAACAGGAUUAGAUACCCGAGUAGUC
rnacentral:rRNA from 1 species